rnacentral:rRNA from 1 species
CCUACGGGAGGCAGCAGUGGGGAAUAUUGGGCAAUGGAGGCAACUCUGACCCAGCAACGCCGCGUGAAUGAUGAAGGUCUUCGGAUUGUAAAGUUCUUUUCUAAGGGAAGAAGAAAGUGACGGUACCUUAGGAAUAAGCCUCGGCUAACUACGUGCCAGCAGCCGCGGUAAUACGUAGGAGGCAAGAGUUAGCCGGAAUGACUGGGCGUAAAGGGUGCGUAGGUGGUUUGACAAGUUAGUAGCGCAACUCCGGAGCUCAACUUCGGAACUACUACUAAACUGUUGGACUUGAGUGCAGGAGGGGCAAUCGGAAUUCCUAGUGUAGCGGUGAAAUGCAUAGAUAUCACGCAGAACUCCGAUUGCGAAGGCAGCAUACCGGCGCCCAACUGACGCUGAAGCACGAAAGCGUGGGUAUCGAACAGGAUUAGAUACCCCAGUAGUC